rnacentral:rRNA from 1 species
UACGGGGGGAGCAAGCGUCGUUCGGAUUUACUGGGCGUAAAGGGCGCGUAGGCGGCCACCGCAAGUCGACUGUGAAAUCUCCGGGCUUAACCCGGAAAGGUCAGCCGAUACUGCGGGGCUAGAGUGCAGAAGGGGCAACUGGAAUUCUCGGUGUAGCGGUGAACUGCGUAGAUAUCGAGAGGAACACCUGCGGCGAAGGCGGGUUGCUGGGCUGACACUGACGCUGAGGCGCGAAAGCUAGGGGAGCGAACGGG